AUCUCUGGGCCGUGGCAAUAUAGGAGCUUAUGAGGUUCAUCUGAGGUAAGAUUAUUGCUAAUUGAAAACUUUCCCCAAUACUCAGUCUUGAUGACUUGAAAUAUCGUCAGCUAUGGCAAUAUUUGAUUUGUUCUCUAUGGAGG